UGCCCGAUAGUAUAAUGGUAGUACAGCAGAUUCUGGUUCUGCGUGUCAGGGUUCGAAUCCUUGUCGGGCAA
rnacentral:tRNA from 1 species